rnacentral:rRNA from 1 species
AGCUGGCUGGUCCCAUGAGGUGACUUCUGCCCAGUGCUCUGAUUGUCAAUGCGAAGAGAUUCAGCCAAGCGCGGGUAAACGGCGGGAGUAACUAUGACUCUCUUAAGGUAGCCAAAUGCCUCGUCAACCAAUUAUUGACGCGCAUGAAUGGAUCAACGAGAUUCCUGCUGUCCCUAGUUGCCGUCUGGUGAACCAACAGCCAAGGGAACGGGCUUGGAUGUGUCAGCGGGGAAAGAAGACCCUGUUGAGUUUGACUCUAGUUUGAUGCUGUGCAACGACUUGAAGGGUGUAGCACAGGUGGGAGGCAAGUGCCAUUGCCACACACACAUCAUUGAGCAGCCCAUGCUGUCUCAGCAGAGAGAUUGCCUUGGUGCAAACCAGCAGUGAAAUACCACUACCUUCACCGUCGUUUUACUCAUCGAGUGACAUGGGACCGGCGGCCCAUCAAUCAGCUCUUCCCUCGCGGAGGGGCUGUAGCCAAUACCCGCUUCGUGCGCAAAGUGUGGUGCUUCGGUGCUACACGACCCUGGAGGCUGCAUUCCAAUCAGAAGCCUUGAGACAUCGAUCAGUUGGGGAGUUUGGCUGGGGCGGCACGCCUGUUACAGGACAACGCAGGCGUCCUGAAGCAAUGCUCAGAUGGAACAGAAAUCUCCCAUGGAGGAGCAGGCCAAAGGUGCUGCUGAUGCUGCGACUUCCAGUGCAAGUCCAAAACGUGCAAGUGUGGCCUAGCGAUCCUUUGGUUGAGUGCACGAGUUUGGGAUAUUGAAGCCAGAGGUGUCAGAAAAAUUACCACAGGGAUAACUGGCUUGUGGCUGCCAAGCGUUCAAAGCGACGUCGCUUUUUGAUCCUUCGAUGUCGGCUCUUCCUAGCUUCCCACCCGCAGCCGAGUGGAAGAGUUGGAUUGUUCACCCACCAACAGGGAACGUGAGCUGG